rnacentral:ncRNA from 2 species
GAUAAGUAUAUACUAAAGGAGUUCGUUUGAUAAUCAAAAGAAGUGAUUGGGGAAACUGGUGACCUGCCCGAAACGCUGCGCAUAAUGUUGCAGGCGGGGAUUCCAGUACAGUGCCGCUACGGUAAGUUCACGACGUUAUGUCGGGAACAAGUCCGAAUACCAAUCAUUUUAUUAGUCCCGAG